GGCAGUUCUCAGGUGACACACCCAGGAAUCAGGCUCCCUCCUCUCUGGUUCCAGGUGCGUCACCCAAGAACCACA
rfam:Myotis brandtii contig215635, whole genome shotgun sequence.